rnacentral:rRNA from 1 species
AGAGUUUGAUCCUGGCUCAGAACGAACGCUGGCGGCGNNGAUAAGACAUGCAAGUCGAACGCUAAUUUCGGGGUAGCAAUAUUCCGGAGUUGGAGUGGCGAAAGGGUGCGUAACAUGUGGGUAAUCUGCCGUGAAGUUUGGGAUAACUUGCUGAAAGGCGAGCUAAUACCGGAUGUAAUCUCUGGGAGACAUCUCUUGGUGAUUAAAGUUGGGGACCGCAAGCCUGACGCUUCACGAUGAGCCCGCAUCCUAUCAGCUAGUUGGUGAGGUAACGGCUCACCAAGGCUAAGACGGGUAGCUGGUCUGAGAGGACGACCAGCCACACUGGAACUGAGACACGGUCCAGACACCUACGGGUGGCAGCAGUCGAGAAUUUUUCACAAUGGGCGAAAGCCUGAUGGAGCGACGCCACGUGGGGGAUGAAGGGCUUCGGUCCGUAAACCCCUGUCAUUUGCGAACAAACCUUUCCACCUAACACGUGGAGAGCUGAUUGUAGCGAAAGAGGAAGGGACGGCUAACUCUGUGCCAGCAGCCGCGGUAAUACAGAGGUCCCAAGCGUUGUUCGGAUUUACUGGGCGUAAAGGGUGCGUAGGUGGCGAGGUAAGUUUGAUGUGAAAUCUCCGAGCUCAACUCGGAAACGGCAUUGAAUACUAUCCCGCUUGAGGGUCGGAGGGGAGACUGGAAUUCUCGGUGUAGCAGUGAAAUGCGUAGAUAUCGAGAGGAACACCAGUGGCGAAGGCGAGUCUCUGGACGACUCCUGACACUGAGGCACGAAAGCUGGGGGAGCAAACAGGAUUAGAUACCCUAGUAGUCC